GGCUGGUUCAAGUGCAGCGGGGUUUACAACUCAUUGAUCAUAACCAGUUACAGAUAUUUUUGUUCCUUCUCCACUCCCGCUGCUUCACUUGAGUGGCCUAAA
ensembl:Y_RNA Y_RNA Y RNA